rnacentral:rRNA from 1 species
UACGUAGGGGGCAAGCGUUGUCCGGAAUCAUUGGGCGUAAAGAGCGCGUAGGCGGCCCGAUAAGUCCGCUGUGAAAGUCAAGGGCUCAACCCUUGAAUGCCGGUGGAUACUGUCGGGCUAGAGUCCGGAAGAGGCGAGUGGAAUUCCUGGUGUAGCGGUGAAAUGCGCAGAUAUCAGGAGGAACACCAAUGGCGAAGGCAGCUCGCUGGGACGGUACUGACACUGAGGAGCGAAAGCAUGGGGAGCGAACAGG